rnacentral:rRNA from 1 species
AACGAACGCUGGCGGCGUGGAUUAGGCAUGCAAGUCGAACGCGAAAGAGGGGGCAACUCCUCGAGUAGAGUGGCGAACGGGUGAGUAACGCGUGAAGAACCUGCCUUCGAGAGGGGGAUAACACUCCCAACGGGGUGCUAAUACCGCAUGAGACCACGGGGCCACAUGGCCCUGAGGUCAAAGGUGGCCUCUGCUCGCAAGCUACCGCUCGAAGAUGGCUUCGCGUCCCAUUAGCUAGUUGGCGGUGUAACGGACCACCAAGGCGACGAUGGGUAGCUGGUCUGAGAGGAUGGUCAGCCACACUGGGACUGAGAUACGGCCCAGACUCCUACGGGUGGCAG